rnacentral:piRNA from 1 species
UAAACAAAUUCUAAGAAACACGUUCAC